AGAGUUUGAUCAUGGCUCAGGAUGAACGCUGGCGGCGUGCUUAACACAUGCAAGUCGAACGGGAUCCCGGGGGUUCGCUCCCGGGUGAGAGUGGCGAACGGGUGAGUAAUGCGUGACCGACCUGCCCCAUACACCGGAAUAGCUCCUGGAAACGGGUGGUAAUGCCGGAUGCUCCGGUUGGAUGCAUGUCCUUCCGGGAAAGAUCCAUCGGUAUGGGAUGGGGUCGCGUCCUAUCAGCUUGAUGGCGGGGUAACGGCCCACCAUGGCUUCGACGGGUAGCCGGCCUGAGAGGGCGACCGGCCACAUUGGGACUGAGAUACGGCCCAGACUCCUACGGGAGGCAGCAGUGGGGAAUAUUGCACAAUGGGCGCAAGCCUGAUGCAGCGACGCCGCGUGCGGGAUGGAGGCCUUCGGGUUGUAAACCGCUUUUGAUCGGGAGCAAGCCCUUCGGGGUGAGUGUACCCUUCGAAUAAGCACCGGCUAACUACGUGCCAGCAGCCGCGGUAAUACGUAGGGUGCAAGCGUUAUCCGGAAUUAUUGGGCGUAAAGGGCUCGUAGGCGGUUCGUCGCGUCCGGUGUGAAAGCCCAUCGCUUAACGGUGGGUCUGCGCCGGGUACGGGCGGGCUGGAGUGCGGUAGGGGAGACUGGAAUUCCCGGUGUAACGGUGGAAUGUGUAGAUAUCGGGAAGAACACCAAUGGCGAAGGCAGGUCUCUGGGCCGUCACUGACGCUGAGGAGCGAAAGCGUGGGGAGCGAACAGGAUUAGAUACCCUGGUAGUCCACGCCGUAAACGGUGGAUGCUGGAUGUGGGGCCCGUUCCACGGGUUCCGUGUCGGAGCUAACGCGUUAAGCAUCCCGCCUGGGGAGUACGGCCGCAAGGCUAAAACUCAAAGGAAUUGACGGGGGCCCGCACAAG
rnacentral:rRNA from 1 species